AACAUAUUAUGCCAUUUUAUGAGCAAGUCCAGCAAAAACUAAGUAAAAACAAUAAAUUAGCACACAUCUUAACCUCAAGCUAUCCUAGGUGUGUAUGACUUUCAGAUGAUCACAAUCAGCUUUUACAAAAACUCAUCACUUCACAUAGGAAGACAUAUAAUACCUGUAUGGAUUUGUUUUUGAUGGGUGGAUAAGCUUUAAAAGUUCAUCACUAUCCAAUAUAUAUAUAUAUAUAUACCACGGGUCUGUUGAUUAUUUUUUUGUAUUUUUCUGUAAACUGCACACCAAACCUGUCAAAUGUUUUAAAAAUAGGCACUAAAGCAUGUUUGUGGUAACGUGGUAUAGGCAGAAUAAUUGACUACAUUUCUUGGCAUUAUUUGAAAAUAAUGCACAUGCGCGGUGUAACUCCGUUUCGUGUCAUGCCACAUUACUUACUUGGGUGUGCAUUAUUUUCGAAUAAUUCAAAGGCCUGUCAUCAAUUAUUCCUUACAAAUAUAUAUAUAUAUAGUCGCUGCCCGAUGAAACUCACGUAUGUCCAAAAUGGUUACUUUUCAGGAAGUGAAAAAAACACCACAUAUCAAAAGCAGUUGAAUGUAGCGUUGUCAUACUUGGUACGGCAUCUUUACAUGUAACCAUAUUCUUGCCAGUGUAAUGAUAUAAUCCACAUUUGACUAAAAUUGACUUUAAAUGGACAAACAUGCAUAUUUUUGUCAGGGUUUUUGAGACAAGAAACGAACCCAAAUGUGGAAGUUGACAACAAAGGACUUUAUUAAACAGAAAAACAAAACCCACGAGGGGGCAAAAUAAGACAGGGAAACACGACACUAAACUGACACUAAACCUAACAAAACUAACAAUAAACUUUUCCAAAACAUGAAACAGACUAAGACUAAGAUAUUACUAAAUAUUGAAAUGAAAUGAAACCAAUAGGAUAUGUGACAAGACGAAAAUGCACAGAACAGCAAACACAAGGACAAUAACUAGGGACAUAGUAAAUUACAUACACCUGGAAAUCAUUACAAGUAAGGGAUCUGGGAAAAAGUGACGAGACCCGAGAAAUGCGUGGGCAGAAUAAACAAAUACUACACCACGCAUCUCCCACCCCUGCUGAAAAAAACAGCAUACCAGCAAGACCAGCAUAUGUUGUGUUUUGGUGCUGGUUUGCUAGUGAACACCAGCUAAACCAGCAUCAGCACCAGCAUUAGCACCAGCUAAACCAGCAACAAACCAGCAUUAGCACCAGCUAAACCAGCAGUAGCACCAGCGUCCCAUGCUGGUCAUACCAGCAUAUGUUGUGUUUUGGUGCUGGUAUGCUGUGACCACCAGCUAAACCAACAUAGACCAGCAUAUUCCCAUGCUGGUUUGAUUCUGUUUUUUUCAGCAGGUACAUAGAACAUAUGUACUGUCAGAACCCUACCAUGCUAAACUAGAUUUAAAUACAAACAAGGAUCUGGCAGGAUUCUGACAAUUUUACAGUAACGGUGGUCGAUACACGUUCUCCCGAUCAUUAAAGGUGUAAUGUGUAGGAUUUAGCGGCAUCUAGCAGUAAAGUUGCGAAUUGCAAACAACAGCUCAGCCCAUCGCUAACCCCGCCUCUUGGAAACGCGUCAUCAAGUCUACGGUGGCUGAAGCGGGACAAACAUAUCAGUUCGUUGUCUGAGGCAGAGAGUAGCCAGCCAAACAAUGAGGUUUCUUUUUUAAAAGAUAAAUUAAUAUUGUUUAUACUUAAUUUUUCAGCAAAACUAUGUUAUUGGGAAUAUUAUUAUUAAUUGUUUAUCACUGUGUCAGUGUUUAAUUCUUUGACUUUAGCUAGCUUUUUGCAUGCUAGUUAGUUCAGGGUAACAAUAGUGAAGCAGCUAGCUAUUGGUAAAUAUGUUUAUUCUGACAGAGAGUUAUCGUUAGCAGACGUUUAUUCCCAUUUGCGGAGUCACGGAGAACCAGAAAACUUACCGGAAAUAACAGGAAUAAGACGGAGAGGCGCUAACUUUAUCUGAGAAGAUGGCACAAGAGAGGAUAAUGAAAGAUUGAAAUCUCUCCAAAGAAACGAAGAGCUGUGACCGAGAGACUUCUUCAGGAGAUUACCCAGGUUUUAUUCCUGGGCUAGGAUUUUCCCUCUGGCACAAUCAUACAAUACCACAAAAGUAUUCACAAACCUGUCUUUGCAUUGUCAAGGCAUCAAACACAUGUACAUAGUUAACUUUGCAUUUAUUUCUAUUAUAUUUUUGUUUCUUUAAAUUUGAGAUUUUUUAUGUUAAUUAUAAUUGUUGUACAACUGCAGUUCCAGUGUAUUGAUGGCCAAAAAUUAAAGGGUAAACCAUAGAGGCAUGUGAUGUAUUUAUUUUCAUAUACAUUAGAUAUAUUUAUUUAUUUAUACAUGUAGGACAAUUUUUUGUACAUUUCCAUAACUAUUCUAUCACCACCUAUGUUUAUUGUUAUUAAUAUUUACAUAAGAGGGACAGCUGUAUAGUGUAAAAACAGAAACAUGUAUGACAGUAACGCAGGCUGGAGAAGUCAGAGAAGGUGGUCUUGCAACGAUGGACGGUUGCCAACGCACUCAGAAGCACCAAUGCUGGAGAAAAGGUUCUCUUCAUUGGAGUUGAUGUUACAGGACCUCUUCUCAUAGCUGAAAAACACCAUCAAGAAAUAAAGUGCUAUAUUACACAGUUACAUACACUGUUUGACAUUAGUUUAUUGUACUGUUAUCCUACAUUUUGUUUUCAAAAACAAUCAAAUCUAAUGCAAGUAUGAUCUUGAUCACGGACAGAUAACAUGAAAAAUGUAAUGUGUGUGUAACAUUGUCACUGUUUGUGUACCACAGUCCAUUACAAACGACAUAAUUGAUGAUGAAGUUUAUAAAGGCAUAGGUUUUUAGAAUAAAGAGUCCUUUCCACUUGGUUAAAUAAUCAGAUAAGCAAUCUGCUCAAACAUUAACAAAUUGACAUUGUAGGUUGUCGCAGUACUGAUAGCCAUCAUUUAAACUUGUGGUAAAACUAUGCAAUGAACACAUUUACCAUGUGUAUGCACAGUAUGUAAUAUCAACCUAAAUUGCACUUUAUGUUUUCUGAAAGUAAUCAUUAUUGGUCACUUGAUAUGUAUUGUACACUGUCAUGUUACGUGAAAUUAAAAUCCACUUACAUAUAUUUAACCGUGACAUGGGGAAAACUUUACUCUUGUUGGUGAUUAUGCUCAUCUUAUAGCUAUAGCUUUUAAACAACGGUUUUCAGGUACAUUGAUAGAGUUACGAUUCCUAACUUACCUGUCCAGGCGAAAGCAGGCAACUUCGGCAUCGUUUUUAAAACAUUUGUCCUGUAUUAGUGCCGUCCAUCUGGGAAAAGCCACACGAUAUUUAUCCUGGAUUUAUGGCGUCGUCUGAACAUGAACAUCUUCUCUCUUCUUUCAUAACACAAUACGCGUGGUACUCUAUUCAAUCCAAAUAUCACUUCUCUUCUUCUAAUAAGUUAAAUAAAGCUUCUAAUAAACCGUACUACAAGAAGACGACGACUGCUAGUCCUCCUGCUUCCUCUUCUUCGUGGGUUUUCAGCAUGACAAUGGGAGCUGUGGUAGCCCCCUCCAAUAACACAGACGAAGAACAACAACAACAUAUUUACGAAACACGCUCUGUAGAGCAGUUUGUCCGUUCACGGCUUCUGUAGAAACAUGAUGGUGAUGCCCAUGUAAGGGGACCCGCUGUGUAUGUAAUUAAAAACGGCUCAAUCUAAGGUAAUAAAAACAUAUUUGUUUUUAUGUAAGGUCAUUAAACACCACUGAAAACAUAGAUAUGUAUAAUAUAUUCAUUUUCUGUCAAUAGAGCUGCCUAAAUCUUACACAUUACACCUUUAA